rfam:Fusobacterium mortiferum ATCC 9817 genomic scaffold supercont2.2, whole genome shotgun sequence.
AAGCAAGAUAGAGGUGCAAAGGACAAGAGUAAAAAUAUCUAGCUUGGCAGGCGUUAUGAUAUUUUGAAAGGGGAAUUUGCCGAAAUAAAAGAGAGAGCUGAACUCUUUUGUUGGCAGUGUGGAGAAUAUCUACAAUGUUGUCAUUGAAAAAUUUCAAUGGAGAGCUAUCUGUGAA